UACCUGGAUGAGUUUCAAGGAAGUUUCUGACUGGAGGAACAUCUGAGGACUGUAAAAGGAUACCAUUACUUAGGAGAUACCUUGAUGCUGACAUUUGUUAAGCCUCCAGACAAUGAAAGGAGGAGAAUUCCAAUCUAUAGCUGUUCAAAAGAUGAAACUGCUCUCAAAACCCCCCACACGCAGUAGUUUGUUUAAUUAUCUAUCUUCAAAGACAACUAAAAUCCAUGUGCACUGCAAAUGGAGUCAUUUUUAGAGUAGAAAGACAAUAGUGUGAUACACGCUCUACUUCUAGAAGCAGCAAUUUCAAAAGAUAAUGGACAUUAUAAGAUUGUUGCCAUUUAUAAAGAGCUCAACAAAACAUAAAAGAGGUGUGUGUAGUGAAACCCAAUGGAGGUGCAAAUAGCGAGCAGUUAUGGGCCACAAUAUAAACACGUGUGGGUGCAGAGAAAUUAAAAUGGGGUGCACAAAUCAAAUUGUUGGGCUAACCCAACUUCAUCUUCGUCAAUAUACCCCAAAAAAACCUUCAAGGUCUCCAUUCUUCAUCUUCCUCGCGUGAACCACCUUUGCCAGCAGCCCCUCCCGUCGCCGCAUGCUCCUCGACCGGCCAGGGCCGUCGCUAGCGACGCUGGUCACAACAGGAAGCUUUGCUGGCGACGACAUGAUCUCCCUCCGUAUUCUUCCUCUUUAAAAACGUGUUUCUACCACCUCCCAAUACCCAGAUCGGAAACCGCCGCGAUUUCCGCCACCAGCGCCACCGCGCAAUCUGGAGUCACCACCAAGACAAUACCGUGGCCGUCGCACGGCCGAGCACUAUCACCGGAGCACCGACGCAGACCCGAAACGGGUUUUUGCGAUUCAGGGGCCGCUGCUCCUCACCUCCUUUCUUCUCAGUCUUGCCAAGUCUUCCCCUGAUUUCCGGUUCUCUUCAUACUCUCGAUGCUGAGAGUUCUUUGUUAUGUUCUAUUGGGAUUUCCCUGUGCAUGUGUGGAGCUGUAGAAGAUGAUGGAUGAUGAAGAUGAAUAGAGAUGAAAAGUGGAGGUGAUGAUGGAUGGGAGAGUGAAGGCGUGGCUAAAGAUUGGUUUUUGAAGCUAAUGAAACAAAGAAGAUGUAGUGCAGAGAAUGUGGAAACUUGAUAUUGAUCCACAUCCACAAUUGCAAAAUAGAACCAAUAAGCUUGAAUGAGAUAGUAAACAGGAAAUUUUACCUUCACCAAUUUAGGAGCUACUUCUUUCUUCUUCUUCUUAGUUGCUCUGAUGCUCCUCACCUCCCUGUCUCGCUUUUCUCAGCUUCUCCUCCUUUAUUUUUCUUUUGCUUUCUCUCACGAUUUUCUGUUUUUUUGGAUGUGUUGGUGAUGGAGUGCAGAUAGCUCGUGUAGAUGAAGAUGAAGAAAAAUGGUGGAGAUGAAUGUAAUGAUGGAAGAACUGAUCUUUUGGUGCUCACAAAUCUGUCUGAUUGUUUUUUUCCAAAAAGGCUGUGUGGUUGCUACAAAAGGCCCAGUGUGAACUGUUCCAUCAUUGUGAAGAGCCAUAAUAUAGAAGACUUUCACGUUCAGCAUGUUACAUAUUAAACCAGAAGACCUGUUCUCAUUUUACCUAACAUCAUGUCACUUAUUUUUAGAUUGACUAGGUUUAAGCAUGUGUUUUCAUAGCUCAACUUCAACAAUGGAAAUUAAAGGAACAAACUUCCAUAUCAACAGCUUCAAAUAGACUCCUUAACUAGCAAUACAUGUGAAACAAACCCCUUUCAAAGAAAAAUUUUGUAACUUCUUCUUUCUUACCCCAUUCUCCCCAAUAACACGAAGCCAAGUUUCUUGAUAAUAAACCAAAAGCAUUCAAGAGGGUACAAAGAUAAGUAAAUAUUUAUGUAUAAGAACUUGGUAGAUGCUUCAAAAGCAAAAGUCACUGUAUGCUACUGGUGCUACAAAAUAUUUUAUUAUGUACAUCAUUACUAUAGCCACUUCUCAGUUUUGUCUUGGGUCCAAAGGCUUCAUUUUUUUGGAUGGCAUAGAAGGUGAAUGCGGUUCCACCAGUAUUGACCAGAGGACGUGCACGUCCUCAUAGGGGCAAGACUUGACAUCUUCAUACAGAAUGUAAAUCCCUCUUCCUGAAAUGUUGGAAAAAAAAUGAUCAUGUGGGAGUGAGAGGGAAAAAAGAAUCAAAUCAUGCAGUGCCCUCCUUACUCCUUAGCAAAGAAAAAGGUAUAGUGUGUUUGUGUAAAAAGCACGUUUCCCAGAACAUGAAUUAAAUUGCAUUGUCUUUACUUGAUUUCAAAUCCCAAUGAAACGGUAAAAAAGUGAAAGAGAACAUUGGUGUAUUAGAUGAUCGGUUAAUGGAAGGUUUGUGUAAAGUACUUGAGCAAUGUAAGAAACAGGACAGAAGCAGUGGUGGAUUAAUUAAAAGUAGAUGCAGAAAAGAAAGAAUAAGCAUGUUGGUAUUGAGAAAAGAUGAUGGUGGAACGUACUCUUCUUUUGAGUUGAAUUCAAGCGGAGCCAGAACUUCUUGAGUGGAGAGAGGAGGGAUUGCAGCCACCCCAUUUGGUGAAGAAAUGGGUGUGGCUCAUGCAGAAGAAGUAAAGUGGAGGAGAUAACAAGAGGGGUAAGAGAGAUGAAGAGGAACCAUCUAGGCUUUUCUUAGACAAGGGUGAAGAUUUUGCAAGGUCACUGUUAUAUAUUUUGGGACGUU
rnacentral:sRNA from 1 species